GAUGAACGCUGGCGGCAGGCCUAACACAUGCAAGUCGAGCGAACACAAGGGGAACGCUCUCCUCUCCCGUUGUCGACGGGCGCGUGAGUAACACGUGCAUAACCUACCUAUAAGACUGUGAUCACUACCCGGACGCGAAUCUACCACAGGCCAAUAGGUAGCACCUGAUGGUUCACUAGUGCAAUACGAUUUUGCUGCGACUAGUACAUGGGACCGGGCCGCUUUAGCUAGUUGGUAAGGAAACGCCUUACCAAGGCAACGAUGCGUAGCCGACCUGAGAGGAGGAUCAGGCACACUGGAACUGAGACACGGUCCAGACUCCUACGGGAGGCAGCAGUGGGGAAUAUUAGACAAUGGGCGAAAGCCUGACCGAGCCACGCCGCGUGAGUGAUGAAGGUCUUCGGAUCGUAAAUCUCUGUUAGUUGGGAGGAAGGAUAGUGUGAGUAACGAUGCCCGUCUUGACGGUACCUAAUGAAUAAGCACCGGCUAACUACGUG
rnacentral:rRNA from 1 species